rfam:Neurospora crassa OR74A unplaced genomic scaffold supercont12.9, whole genome shotgun sequence.
UGACCUCGGAUUAAGUAGGAAUAUUUACUAAACUUAAAUAUAUUAAUAAACGGAGGAAAAGAAACUAAUAAGGAUUGCCCUAAUAAUAGUAAAUAAAGCAGUAAUAAUUUAAAUUUAAAAUUUAACUUCGGCCUAAAUUAUAAUUUAUAAAGGAAACUUUUAGUAAAGUACCUUCUAAAUCCCUUAGAACGGAGCGCUAUAGAGGGUAAGAGCCCUAUAUAGUCGGAUAUUAAUUUAAUAUAAAGCUCCUUUAAUAAAUCGAAUAAUUUAGGAAUACUAUUUAAAAUAGGAGGUAAAUUUCUUCUAAAGCUAAAUACUAGCUAAAGAUUAAUAGUAUAUAAAUAGAGUAAUUAAAAAAUAAAAAGUAUUUUAAAAAGAGGGUUAAAUAGUAUAUAAAAUUAUUAAAAGGGAAGUAUUUAUAAUUAGACUUGCGCUAUUCCAAUUAUCCGGUAUUCUUAUUAGUAUAUUCGGGACGGUUUAAACUAAUAUUAAUUUUAGUAGGGGGAUAAAGGUCCGGGGAAUAUAGCUCCUCUAAGAGUAUUAUAGCCCCGGGCGUAAUAUUUUUACCGGGAUUAAGGUUCGUACAUUUAUAAGAAUACUAGUAUAAUAGUUAUUAAUAACCUAUUUUGAAAUACGGAUUAAGGAGUUAAGGUUUUAUAUAAGUAUUUGGGUGUAAAAUCUGUAUAUAUAAUGAAAGUAAAUGUAGGUAAGAGUUUCGGCGUAUUAUUGACCGAUUUUAAUAUAUUCGGAUAGAUUUGAGUAAGAGCGUUAAAUUUUAAACCCGAAAGAUAGUAAACUAUAUUUAAAUAGGGUAAAAUUAGAGGAAACUCUAAUAGAGGUUUGUAGCGGUUUUAACGUAUAAAUCGAUUAUUAAAUUUGAAUAUAGGGGCGAAAGAUUAAUUGAACUAUCUAAUAGCUAAUUACCGCCGAAGUUUCCCUUAGGAUAGUAGUAUUAUUCUUUAGUUUUAUAAAGUAAAGCGAAUAAUUAGGGAUUCGGGGGCGCUUUUUAACCUUUAUUUAUUCUUAAACUUUAAAUAUAUAAGAAACUCUUAUUAUUUAAUUGAAUAUAGGUAUUCGAAUGUAUUAAUAUUAGUAGGCUAUUUUUAGUAAGUAAAAUUAGUAAUGUGGAAUAAACCGAACGCGGGGUUAAAGUGCUAGAGUAGACGUUUAUUAAAUAUUAUAAAAAGUAUUAGUAUAUUUUAAUAGUAGGACGGUGGCUAUAAAAGUUGGAAUUUAUUAAGGAUUAUAUAAUAAUUUAUUUAUUAAAUAUAUUAGCCUUAAAAAUAAAUAGCGUUUAAGCGUCCUACCUAUACCCCGCCCUUAGGGUAAAAAUAAUAUCCUAAGGAAUAGGCGGCCGUAGAGGUUAGUAAUGAAGUUUAGGGCGUGAGUCCGGGUCGAACGGCCUUUAGUAUAGAUUUUAAUAAUAGUAGUAAAUAUUUUAAUAAGAAUUUGAAGGACCGAAGUAGGGAAAGGUUCUAUAUAAAUAGCGGUUGGAUAUAGGUUAGUCGAUUUUAAACUAUAGGGAAAUUCUAUUUUAAAGGGGUAUUUAUACCCUAUAUAGCGAAAGGGAAGCCGGUUAAUAUUCUAGUACUUAAAUGUAAGUUUUGUAUAGUAACGUAAUUGAAUAUAGAAAUAAUAGUGGGGGCCCCGGGUAGAAUUCUCUUUUUUUUUUAAUAAUUUAUUACUUUAAAAAUAAUUUAUUUAGAGAUAGGGUUUAAUAGCCGGAAGAGCCCAAUACUUUUAUUAAGUCCGGUACGCUCUUAACGUUCUUUAAAAAUCUACGGAAGGGAAUAAUUCUUAUAUUAGAUUAUAUUUAUAAUUAUAGUAAGUCUCUAAGGUAAAUAGCUUUUAGUUAAUAGAAUAAUAUAAAUAAAGGAAGUCGGUAAAAUAGAUCUAUAAUUUCGGGAAAAGGAUUAGCUUUAAGGGUUAGGUACGUCGGGUUUUAAGUAAACGCUCUAGGAGUAGAUUGCUAUUAGCCGGGUAAUUAGUUAGCGGUUUUUAGUAUUCGGGUAUAAAAGCUCUUAAUAGACUUUAAUUAUCCGGCGUACGUUUAAUAACUAAUUUAGAACUAGUACGGAUAGAGGGAAUUUAAUUAUUUAAUUAAAAUAUAGUAUUACAAUAGUUAAAAAGUAAUAUUAAUAUAAUAUAAUUUCUACUUAGUAUUUUAAAUAUUAAAAUAAAGAAAUUUAAUUAAGUGUAAGUAAACGGUAAGAGUAACUAUAAUUCUCUUAAAAUAACCAAAUACUUUAUUAUUUAAUUAGUAACGCAUAUAAAUAAAUUAACGAAAUUCCUAUUAUCCCUAUUUACUAUUUAACGAAACUAUAAUUAAGGGAACGGAUUUAGUAGAAUUAGUAGGGAAAGAAGAUCCUAUUAAAUUUAACUUUAAUUUAAUAUUGUAAAAAGAUAUAGGAGGUAUAGAAUAGGUAGGAGCUUCGGCGCUAAUAAAAUACUACUACUCCUAUUAUUUUUUUACUUAUUUAAUUAAGCGGGGUUGGAUUUUCGUCCAAUUUCUAAUUUUAAGGUCCUUCGCGGGCCGACCCGGGUUAAAGAUAUUAUUAAGUGGGGAGUUUAAUUAGGGCGGUAUAUUUAUUAAAUUAUAAUGUAGGUAUCUUAAGGGGGGCUUAUAGAGAAUAGAAAUCUCUAGUAGAAUAAAAGGGUAAAAGUCCCUUUAAUUUUAAUUUUUAGUAUAAAUAUAAAUUAUAAAAAUAUAGCCUAUUAAUUCUUUAGUCCUUUAAAAUUUGAGGUUAGAGGUGCUAGAAAAGUUACUAUAGGAAUAAUUAACUUAUAGCAGCUAAGCGUUUAUAGCGACAUUGCUUUUUAAUCCUUUAAUAUCGGUUCUUCCUAUUAUAUUAAAAUAGAAUUUAGUAAAUAUUAAAUUAUUUACUUAUUAAUAGAGAAUAUAAAUUAAGUUUAGAUUAUUGUAAAAUAGGUUAGUUUUACCCUAUUAAUAAUUUUAUUAUAAUAGUAAUUAAGUUUAGUAUAAAAGGAACUAUUUAUUUAAAUAAUUAGUUUUUACAAUUGUCCAACCGGGUAGUACUAUAACGCUACUAUUUAUUAGAUAAUAGUUGAACGCCUCUAAAUUAGAAUCUAUAUUAGAAUAUAAUAAUACCUCUAGUAUAUUAUAGAUAUAUAAGAAUAGGUUCCGGCUUUAUAUUUUAGUAGGCAAUUCCUUUAUUAGCUUUAAAGUAGCUAGUAGUAAUUUGUAUAUUAUAAUUUUAAUACGCAUUAGAUUAAAUCCUUUAUAAAUAAUUUAAAUAUAUAAAAGGGUCUUAUAAAUAGUAGAGUAAUUUUAUUAUUACAAUCUACUAAGGGUAAGCCCUCCUUCGCUUAAAUUUCC